rnacentral:SRP_RNA from 2 species
GCUGGGCAUGGUGAUGCAUGUCUGUAGUCCCAGGUACUCAGGAGGCUGAGAUGGGAGGAUUCCUUGAGCCCAGGAGGUCAAGGCUGCAUGCCGUGAGCUGUGAUUGUACCUCUGCACUCUAGCCUGGGCAACAGAGAAAGAUUGCAUCUCUA